GGUCACGGUCAUGGGCAUGGUCAUGGGCAUGGUCAUGGUCAUGGGCAUGGUUCUCACCAUGGCCAUAAGCAUGGACACUGCUGAUGAAAACAGCAAGCAUUGUGGACAUGGCUCAAGUGAAAGCAAGAGUGAACCGCUGAAGACGUACAAGAGUGAUAUACACCAGCACCAUCCAUAACCAACCCUGUUCUUUUCAUUAUAACUAAUUUUCUUCUGAUAUUGUUGUUUUUUCAAUAUACAAUUUAUGAAGCCUGUUUUGUGCAUUAAGACUUGCUUUAAAAUCAUCAGUAAUAUCAGCGUUAAGUAUGCUGUUUGUAUUGACUACAGGGUAAACGAGGUCAACAGAUCAACAGAUUCUAAAUGGCUUUGAGGUUUAUACUUCAUUCAAGAAAAUUAACUGUUCAGGAUCAAUAAAAUGUUGUGCAGAAAUUGAACUGUGCACUAAAUGUAUGUGAUGUGCAAAAUCCCCUUUAUUUUGUGUUUCAGUAAAAUAUUUGCGUACUGUAAUGUACAAGAAAGCCUUAUGUGUGAAAAUUACUCCAUUAAGUAUUUUAGCACAUGAAGGAAUAUAUAAAUGCAUGAUCACAUAGUAUAUGCAGUAGGUAUAUAGUGCAGAGACAUAACAGCAACAAUAAUAGUAAUAAUAAUAAUAAUUCUGACAAUUCUGAAUUUCAAUUCUGAAAACAUUAUUAUGCAUGGAUUAUGGGUUUUUUUG